GGUCCGUAGGCGGCUUUAUAAGUCAGUGGUGAAAGCCCAUCGCUUAACGAUGGAACGGCCAUUGAUACUGUAGAGCUUGAAUUACUUGGAAGUAACUAGAAUAUGUAGUGUAGCGGUGAAAUGCUUAGAUAUUACAUGGAAUACCAAUUGCGAAGGCAGGUUACUACAAGUGGAUUGACGCUGAUGGACGAAAGCGUGGGGAGCGAACAGGAUUAGAUACCCUGGUAGUCCACGCCGUAAACGAUGGAUACUAGCUGUUCGGAGCAAUCUGAGUGGCUAAGCGAAAGUGAUAAGUAUCCCACCUGGGGAGUACGCACGCAAGUGUGAAACUCAAAGGAAUUGACGGGGGCCCGCACAAGCGGAGGAGCAUGUGGUUUAAUUCGAUGAUACGCGAGGAACCUUACCAGGGCUUAAAUGGGAGACGACAGUUUGGGAAACCAGAUUUUCUUCGGACGUCUUUCAAGGUGCUGCAUGGUUGUCGUCAGCUCGUGCCGUGAGGUGUCAGGUUAAGUCCUAUAACGAGCGCAACCCCUAUUGUUAGUUGCCAGCGGGUCAUGCCGGGAACUCUAACAAGACUGCCGGUGCAAACCGUGAGGAAGGUGGGGAUGACGUCAAAUCAUCACGGCCCUUACGUCCUGGGCUACACACGCGCUACAAUGGACGGUACAGAGAGCAGCCACUGCGCAAGCAGGCGCGAAUCUUCAAAGCCGUUCUCAGUUCGGAUCGGAGUCUGCAACUCGACUCCGUGAAGCUGGAUUCGCUAGUAAUCGCAUAUCAGCCAUGAUGCGGUGAAUACGUUCCCGGGCCUUGUACACACCGCCCGUCAAGCCAUGGAAGCUGGGGGUACCUGAAGUCGGUGACCGCAA
rnacentral:rRNA from 1 species